rnacentral:misc_RNA from 1 species
AAACUUGUGGACACCACCUUCUUGCCAGACCUCGGCGUAACCUCCCCUCCCUCCCCCUUACACACUGACGCUUCCAAGCAUCAUGUCGGACCCGGCUGCGCUCGGGGGGGCGCUGCCGUCACCGCCAAGGAGCCCGCCCGGCUUAUUGUCGAGGACGACUGCGGAUCCUACGGCUGCCGCUUCGCCUUCUGACCUCUCCGGUUGUGCGAGCCCAGCACUAGCCACCACGACUGCGGUGGACUGUGCGAAGCGUUGCCGCGACGGUGCCAAGAGUGUCCUCUCCUUCACACCGUUCCGAAUGGCGGAGAAGCGGUACAAGCUGUACGAGUUCUCGCGGCGCGAGGCGCGUCGUCGACCGCCUCCUCCGGAGACGGACCUGACGGAUGUGGUGCAGCUUCACGACCUCGAUCGCAACACUGACGAGAACAAGCGACUCAUCCAUCGGGUCGUUCUGCCACCAAAACCGCAGCACAACGAGGGCGCAUCGCUCUCGGCAGCGGAAGAAGCUCAGCCAGGGAAAGAGGUGUUGUGCUACACCUUUGCUGGUGUCCCUGGCCUUCUGCUGUUCCCUGGCGUGCUGAGCGAGGCGGAGCAGCAGCGCUGGUGCAGAGAGGCGGUGCUCGACUACGGCGACUCGGCGAAGCACCCGAACAUUCUCAGCACCCACGCCAAGGCGCCUCAGAGCACGUCCUGCUAUCAGCCCCCCAUGCGGUGGGCCACGCUCGGGUACAGCUACGAAUGGACGCGGAAGGUGUACCACCGCGACCGCUACUCGACGUUUCCGUCUGCACUGCGUGCGCGGAUGUGCAAUCUCGUCUCGCUCGUGGCAGAGGUGCAACAGGACGGGUUCUGCUGUGCCUACCCUGACGUCUACGAGCCCCAGACGGCGAUCGUGAACUACUACCCUGUCGGGUCGAUGAUGAUGUGCCACCAGGACAUUAGCGAGGAGACGCUGGAGCAGCCGCUGAUGAGCUUGUCGCUGGGCUGCUCCGCCAUUUUCUUGAUGGGCACGCAGUCUCGCGAGGAUGCCCCGUACGCGUUUCUUCUGAGGAGUGGCGAUGUGGCAGCCUUCACUGGGCCCUCGCGGUCGGCGCUCCACUCGAUACCGCGCAUCCUCGACGACUGCCCUGAGUAUCUGACGUUGCCGGAGGAUGAACUGACGGAGGCGGAGCGACACCGGUACCAGCAGCACGCCUACUGCGCGCGCCCCACCUCCGAUGGAAGCUUCUUGCGAGUGGAAAAGGCGAUGAUGACGGCGGAGGGGCAGGAGCGAUACUGGCGCCUUUGCAUGCGGCAUAUGCGUGUCAACAUCAAUGCACGGCAGGUGUACAAUGAGCGGUGCCCCGCUCUCUUCGGUGCGCCACGCGAUCUGGCGCAGGGGAAGGGCGGCAUCGGCGCAGGCUGAGAGGGGGAGGCGCAUACGCUGAGUGCGAAUGCAGCGGAGCUCGUUGUUUUGCGUGACGGCGCGAGCUCGUCUUGGUGUCGCUUUCUCUUCGCCCUCUUCUCCUCGUCCCCUGGAGGGCCUCAUCGACGGCGUCGCUGUCACUGCUGUCAUGUGUGUUCGCAGCGCAGACUGUUUCCCUUUACCCACCUACCCCCCUCCACAC